rnacentral:rRNA from 1 species
CUAGAGAUAGAGCCUUCCCCUUCGGGGGACAAAGUGACAGGUGGUGCAUGGUUGUCGUCAGCUCGUGUCGUGAGAUGUUGGGUUAAGUCCCGCAACGAGCGCAACCCUUAAGCUUAGUUGCCAUCAUUAAGUUGGGCACUCUAAGUUGACUGCCGGUGACAAACCGGAGGAAGGUGGGGAUGACGUCAAAUCAUCAUGCCCCUUAUGAUUUGGGCUACACACGUGCUACAAUGGACAAUACAAAGGGCAGCGAAACCGCGAGGUCAAGCAAAU